UGUCCCCUCCAAGAUUAAGGUUGACA
rnacentral:piRNA from 1 species